GUGCUCUCUGGAAACACAUGUACUAACACUGGACCAAUACAGCGAUUAGCACGGCCACUGUGCAAGGAUGGCAAAGAAAUCCCUGAAGUGUUCCAUAUUUGA
rnacentral:snRNA from 1 species